CCCCUCGUGCACUGUUUUCACAACCUCCCUAGGGAGCUUCGACAGGAGUUGGAAGGGAACCUGAGCGUUUGAAUGGGAGUAGUCUUCAUUGACUCCUCAGCUCAAGUUCCCCCAUCAGCUGAGCAAUCAGCGUACAACUGGAGUCGACUCUUCUAGGCCACUAUUCUUCUUAUAAGAAUCUCUCUCCAUUCAAGAGAGGCCUUAUGAGAUGUUUAACUAACCCCUUUCACCCCCUUUUUGCUAGUUGACUUUUUAUAUGUUGUUACACGUAGAUUCAUUUCUACUGUUUCACACGUUUAAUUACUUGAACGUUAAAAAAACAACUCUUAGCAAUGGAUAUCUUGGUUCUCGCAACGAUGAAGAACGCAGCGAAAUGCGAUACGUAAUGCGAAUUGCAGAAUUCAGUGAAUCAUCAAAUCUUUGAACGCAAAUUGCGCUCUUGGGUAGCCCUAGGAGCACGCCUCUCUCAGUAUCGGUUCAACCAUCUCUCAGCAGCGUAGGCAACUACGCCGACUGGAAAAUGAGAGUCGAGCGCCUCGUGUGCUCGUCUCUUGAAAUACAUCGAGUGUGGACUCAUCGACUUCAGCUUUCGUCUUCGGGCGGAAUAGUGGAUCUCGACUGUCGCACCUCAAGUGACGUGAAUACUGGCCCUUGUGGUCUCCCUUUACGUGUAUCUUGGGUGCGUCGAUUAGGUCGAGUGAUGCGAACGUAGUUGAACGAGCUCACAUGUGACGUGGCAGCAAUGCUACAAUCGGCUUCGUGUUUACACAGAGUCUGAAUAUUUGAUCUGAGAUGAAGCGAGACAACCCCCUGAAUUUAAGCAUAUUAAUAAGGGGAGGAAAAGAAACUAACAAGGAUUCCCCCAGUAACGGCGAGUGAAGCGGGAAGAGCUCAAUUUUGAAAAUCGAUU
rnacentral:rRNA from 1 species